rnacentral:lncRNA from 1 species
UGAUGGGAUAGCGCCUUUAUUGUGGGACAAACUAAUUGCUUAAUGAAUAGCCAAUAACAUUUCCUCAUACUCUGGUUUCUCUUUGGAUCUUAUAAACCCUUUGUCUUUUACCAAAAAAAAAAAAAAAAAAAAAUCAAAACCAAAACCAAAAAACAAAAACAUUUCCUUAUGUAAAGGGACAUGACUUUUAAAAAAUAUGAAUAUUUCCACUUUUCUUGUGGUUCUCCCUCCUGUCCUUCUGUCUUUUCAACCAGUUGUCAAUCCUUGCCUCAGAAGAGUUUAUGAUUCUACAGAACAGCAAAGAAAAGCUUUUGGGUUUCAAAGGUAUUGACUUUUAUGUUGUAAAAAUCUCAGGUCCAAAGGGAAAGUUGAUGAUAUAAGAGUAAGGUUCCUGUUUGCAUCCUUUUCUCCCACUGCAGGGUUGGGGAAAAGAAGCCCUCUGCACACCAGAAUUACCCAGAGACAUGGAACACUUAGCACUGCAUCAUAUGUUGGCCUUACAGAGGUCCUCCGUAUUCCAAUGUGAGGAAGGAAGUGGUGGUACAUUUGCAGAAGGCACUAAAUUAAGCGACUCUAAUGAACCAGAUAGAAGGGACCACUGCAACAGGAUUUAGUUUCCUCCUCGAACCAUGAAAGAGACCAGGAGAGAAUAGGCCUUCCUCUUUGGCAGCCAACAUGGAAACAGGAUGAACAAGACCAGGAGGAGGUUUUCCUCUGUUUCACAGGUAUUCCAUAGUCACUGGAAACUCAUAUGCAUCCUGGAAAGCAGUAAUAUUGACUUUCCACCACAAAGUCAAAGUUUGCAACAGAAGCUAAGUUGUUAUAAAAGAAAAUAAUUGCUUUAAUAUACGGACUGAAAUUUGCACCCAAUGCAUUUAGAUUUUGAAUGUUACUGUUCAAAAAGCCAAGUCUGAAGCCAAAUGUUUUUUUCUUUCUCUUUUAAUGUUGAUUUGCUUUUUCUGCCUGGAUGCUUCAACAAUUCUAACUUCAUCUUUAAAAUUUAGUAACUUAAUGAGAAUAUACCUGGCUUGCUUAUUCUGCAACAGCUUUCAUAUUAGAAGAUAUAUUUUAAAAUUUUUAUUUAGUUUUAUUCAAAAUUUAAAGAAAUACUUUUGUAUUCUUUCUCCAUAUACCUUUUCUUUCCUAUUUUUCAAUGAUUGAUAGAUGUCAUUUAUCUGCUAUUUAUAUUCACCAAUUUCUUUUCAUUAGCUUUGAGCUUUUUGUCUUUUUCUCUCUGCAUUUAUACAUGUUUUAAGACAUUUUCCAUGCUGUAAUUUCAAUUUUUAACUUGUUUUCUUCUGUUUCUAAUUUAUGUAUUAGGUCUAUAAUAAUAGAAUCUUUUGUUUCUCAUUUUUUCCCCUUUAGCACUUCAGUUUCCCUAAUUUGUUUUAUCAUCUUGUCUUUGAGUUCUUUUAUUGAAUUCAUUUUCUUCUAAAUUCUUUUAUACUGUGAAGUACUUGUGGGAAAUAAGUUCUGUUCUUUGGGUUAUGUCUUCUUGAUGAUGGAUUCUUCAUAUGUUAUUCACUAGCUAAUUUUUUUUUCAACUGUAGUCUGUUGCCAUUGUUUCCGUGGCAUGCAUUUUCAUUCGGUUAUUGGUUAACAGAGUGCUUUGUCUGGAAGUUUCUGUUAUGACAUAGUAUGGGUAAAUUCUCUUUGCUAUAGUUCCUUUGUUUUGGAGAGUUGUUUGAUUGUUAAUUUAGGUGCUACAUUUUGACGGCUUGGUUGUCUGUUCUAUCGGCUUUUCUGAAGCCUGAGGGUUCAAGGAUUAAAGAAUUAUAACCCUUGUUCUGGACAAUUUGGGUUUGGCUUUCUCACUGAAAUCCUACAAAUGUCUCCUACUAGGGACUACCUAUUUCCAUUAAUAUUAUCUAUUUUCUCCAUCUGAAGGUGGUAAGUUCCAGUAUCUGUUUUUGUCUUUCUGAGAUCCUCCAGGGGUGCGAUCCUCCAGGAUCCUCCAGAUCCUCCGGGACCUCUAGUAUCGAAUAUCUUCCUGUGUCUUUCUACUCAGCUCUCAGUCACCCUCUCUCUAAGUUGGAGGACAUUAGCAGCAUUCUUAGAAUUUCUUCAACCUACUCUUUUUCUUUAGUAAGGUUUUUGGAGAAUGAGAAUCUGUUGGGUGUCUUGUUGGAUUCCAUGGUAUUUAUUUAUCAUACCUAUUGUGAAUAUUCACAGCACUUGCUAUAACAUUUUGAUGUAUUUGAUUAUGUAGCACCACCCCUAACAUGCCAAAUGUAAUGCAAAGUUUAUACAUACAUUUUAAAAUACGAACAAAUCUGAAUUUCUGACUUAUGUUCUGUUUCCAUUGCUUGACAUUUACAGCAUGAAGCUACUUCCCUUCCCUUGUUUGCUUGCUGCUGGUAAAUUUGAGGCCAUUUACUUUUUCUUUAUUUAAAAAAAAAAUCUUAACCCGAAAGACUGAGCUAUGACUUCAUAUUAAGCUUUAUAGUACAAGGCAAAAAAAUGAAUUCAAAAUAGAGAGUUAUGUAAAACCAAGUGUAUUCAUUCAAUGAGAGUUCAUUUUUAACUCUCUUGCCAUUAUUUACUGGGAACAUAAAUCUAUUGUAUUUUAACUUAAAAAUGUAAUUGUGCUCUAGAUUCCAAUUAUCUUUCUUUUCUCAGCAUUGUUAUCAAACAAGUCUUAAAAUGGGAAUUUCAGUGCUUUUUGAAUGAAUUAAUGUAUUUUAAAAUUUUCCUAUAUUUUACAUAAACACCGUUUUGGAAUGUGACUUUUGAUAAAAAUAUUCCUCCUCAGUGAAAUGAACCAUCCCUGCAACUCUUACAGCAAAUAUAUAUAGUUAUGCUAGUUUUAUCUCUUCCCUGAUGGGAAAGCACACAAUUAUCUAUAAGAUAUUUCAGCCUGUAACUGUGUUUUAUCCUUCUUUGAAGAACCCCCCCCCAACACAUGUCUGUGUGCACACCCAAAACAGCUUUAAUAUUACUAUAAUAAUAUAGCAAAAUGUUUGACGCUGGGUGCUAUAAACUUUAAUAAAUGCAAUGCAGUUUGAGAAUCUUAACAAAUUUCUAAGUGGACUCUUAAAAAACAGACUCUCAAUACCUAAAUCAGGAUUACUAAAAUGAUUGCUGAAAUGAAGUGUUUUAUAUUUCUAUUGAGAAAGAAAUAUAAAAUACAAUAUUAUUAUUAUAUGAGAAGUUUGAAAGAAAAUAUUCAUUAUCUCAAUGUUUUUGGACCAAAAAAAAAAAAUCUUAGUAAAAGUAACGUAAAUACAAAAAAGUCUUCAUUUUGCUUAACAUAUAAACAUUUUCAAGGAAAUUAAACAUAUCUGGUAGUUUUUAAGAAAAUUAAAACUAGAAAAUUUGAUCCAAAUUGCAUGUUCUUUUCAGGAGCACGGACUAUUCUCUCAUGUUGAAUGUGGCACUUUUUACAUACAAGCAGGAGAGCAACUACACCAAGAUUUUGGAAAACAUGUUAUGUUAAUUGUGACCUCUAUGAUGGGGAUAUGAUAAAGAAGAAAAGUACCUCACAGCGAUGAUUGGCAUGUGAUCACUUAGCCAAUGAGAUAAGAGGCUGUAGAAACGAUGUGAUAAUGACAUCUCCUGAGUUGCAGGUCCAUAUUAGAAGUGGAUAUGAAGUAAACAUUGAGCUUUCCUCACAUUUAAUUAACAAGCUUUAUUAUAGAUACAGCUCAAAUUAGUUAAUUCAGGAAGCUUAUUUUGUAGAAAUUAAAACAUUAAUAAACACAUACAUUUAGAAAUAAAGAACUCGGCUGACCCUUUGACUCUUUGAAACAAGUGGCCUUCCAUGCUGUGAAAGAUUGUAGCCACUCUUUGAGACAUUGGAAUGGUGUCCAUUGCAUUUUAUCAAGUUAACUAUAGGUCAGCCUGGGAAAUCUGAAGUUUCCUUAUCUCCUGUCACUGUGGUUGCUGUGAGAUUUUGUGUCAUCACUGUGCUGUCUUCCCUCUCCACAUGAAGGUGAGCUGUCUGGCUUCACUCUAACGUUUGUGAUUUCACGCCCGACCUGAUUGUUGCCAAGCAAUUCCUUUGUUUGGAGAAUUCUGUGCUUUGUUUAGAAUUUUUUAAAGGUUCUUUUCCUGUGGUCAGAUUUCUGUUUGCUACUGUGUCUUAUGCCUUGUUCUCCUACAGAGAAGAUUCUUUGAAGUUAGUGGAAGCUCAGCUUAAAGGAAGAUCUACUGCUCUGUGUGGUGGAUGACCAUGGGGGAGCGAGAAGGCAGCCUCCGGCUUUUGUUUUGUGUGUGUGUGUGUGUGUGUGUGUGUGUGAUGUACCUGGAAAAAUAACACGACUAGGAUUAAAGAGUAUGUUUGGCAUGUUUAAAAUAAAUUGUAAACCAAACGUAUUUUAAAGAAUUUAUACAAAUUUGUCAUUUAGUAAAAUGAAUGACUAUUGAGUAUUCAUGUCAAUAAAAC